rnacentral:rRNA from 1 species
CAAAAACAUGGUUUUUAGAUUUUUUUAAAAAUCAGACCUGCUCAAUGAAUUUUUUUUAAAUAGCCGCGGUAAUUUAACUGUGCAAAGGUAGCAUAAUAAUUAGUCUUUUAAUUGAGGUUUGGAAUGAAUGGUUAGACCAGAAAAUAACUUUAUUUUUUUAAAUUAUUUUGAAUUUAAUUUUUGAGUAAAAAAGCUUAAAUAUUUAAGAGGGACGAUAAGACCCUAUAGAUCUUUAUUAUAAAAUUUUUUAAAAUGUUUUAGAAUUUUUUUUUUUUAUAAAAUUUUUUAAUUUAGCUGGGGUGGUAGGUAAAAAUUUUAUCUUUACUUUUUUUUUACAUUUAUUUAUGUAUUAUUUGAUCCAAAAUUUUUGAUUAAAAGAUGAAGAUACCUUAGGGAUAACAGCGUUAUUUAUUUGGAGAGUUCUUAUCGAUAAAUAUGUUUGCGACCUCGAUGUUGGAUUAAAAUUUGUUUGUGGGGUAGGUUUUACAAUCUAGGUCUUC